rnacentral:rRNA from 1 species
AGAGCGAACGCUGGCGGCAGGCUUAACACAUGCAAGUCGAGCGGGCGUAGCAAUACGUCAGCGGCAGACGGGUGAGUAACGCGUGGGAACAUACCUUUUGGUUCGGAACAACACAGGGAAACUUGUGCUAAUACCGGAUAAGCCCUUACGGGGAAAGAUUUAUCGCCGAAAGAUUGGCCCGCGUCUGAUUAGCUAGUUGGUGAGGUAACGGCUCACCAAGGCGACGAUCAGUAGCUGGUCUGAGAGGAUGAUCAGCCACAUUGGGACUGAGACACGGCCCAAACUCCUACGGGAGGCAGCAGUGGGGAAUAUUGGACAAUGGGCGCAAGCCUGAUCCAGCCAUGCCGCGUGAGUGAUGAAGGCCCUAGGGUUGUAAAGCUCUUUUGUGCGGGAAGAUAAUGACGGUACCGCAAGAAUAAGCCCGGCUAACUUCACGCCAGCAGCCGC